rnacentral:tRNA from 1 species
CGGGGCGUUGUGUAACGGUAGCACGAACGCUUUGGGAGCGUUUAGUCCGAGUUCGAAUCUCGGCGCCCCGA